UGGGGAAUAUUGCACAAUGGGCGAAAGCCUGAUGCAGCGACGCCGCGUGAGGGAUGACGGCCUUCGGGUUGUAAACCUCUUUCAGCAGGGACGAAGCGCAAGUGACGGUACCUGCAGAAGAAGCACCGGCUAACUACGUGCCAGCAGCCGCGGUAAUACGUAGGGUGCAAGCGUUGUCCGGAAUUACUGGGCGUAAAGAGUUCGUAGGCGAUUUGUCGCGUCGUUUGUGAAAACCAGCAGCUCAACUGCUGGCUUGCAGGCGAUACGGGCAGACUUGAGUACUGCAGGGGAGACUGGAAUUCCUGGUGUAGCGGUGAAAUGCGCAGAUAUCAGGAGGAACACCGGUGGCGAAGGCGGGUCUCUGGGCAGUAACUGACGCUGAGGAACGAAAGCGUGGGUAGCGAACAGG
rnacentral:rRNA from 1 species